GACGAACGCUGGCGGCGUGCCUAAUACAUGCAAGUAGAACGCUGAAGGAGGAGCUUGCUUCUCUGGAUGAGUUGCGAACGGGUGAGUAACGCGUAGGUAACCUGCCUGGUAGCGGGGGAUAACUAUUGGAAACGAUAGCUAAUACCGCAUAAUAGCAGUUGUUGCAUGAUAACUGUUUGAAAGGUGCAAUUGCACCACUACCAGAUGGACCUGCGUUGUAUUAGCUAGUUGGUGGGGUAACGGCUCACCAAGGCGACGAUACAUAGCCGACCUGAGAGGGUGAUCGGCUACACUGGGACUGAGACACGGCCCAGACUCCUACGGGAGGCAGCAGUAGGGAAUCGUCGGCAAUGGACGGAAGUCUGACCGAGCAACGCCGCGUGAGUGAAGAAGGUUGUCGGAUCGUAAAGCUCUGUUGUAAGAGAAGAACGAGUGUGAGAGUGGAAAGUUCACACUGUGACGGUAUCUUACCAGAAAGGGACGGCUAACUACGUG
rnacentral:rRNA from 1 species